AAUAUUUACUACAGUUUAGUUUAUAUAACUUAUGUGGCGGAACAGGUAGACGCGUGGGACUUAAAAUCUCAUUCCAUAGGAGUGCCGGUUCGAUUCCGGUCAUAAGUAAAUUUUUAAAG
rnacentral:tRNA from 1 species